rnacentral:rRNA from 1 species
UACGUAUGGUGCAAGCGUUAUCCGGAUUUACUGGGUGUAAAGGGAGCGCAGGCGGCACGGCAAGCCUGAUGUGAAAGCCCGGGGCUCAACCCCGGGACUGCAUUGGGAACUGCCCUGCUGGAGUGCCGGAGGGGCAGGCGGAAUUCCUAGUGUAGCGGUGAAAUGCGUAGAUAUUAGGAGGAACACCAGUGGCGAAGGCGGCCUGCUGGACGGUGACUGACGCUGAGGCUCGAAAGCGUGGGGAGCAAACAGG